AUUACGUUCUGCCAAAAUACGACCUUUCCCUUGCAUUUACCACCUCUUUUCUUCGAAUUUUCAAAUCCUCAGAACAGUACAGGUUACAGACAAAUUAAUCCUACUGACUAUUCACCUCCACUCCAAAACAAGAAGAAAACGAGUAGUAUCCCGGAGACUGGGGAAGGAGAGAGACCCACAAAGAAUCACACACACAACACACACUGAGAAAGAAGGGGGGAAAAAAGGUACUCCCUAGAGAGUUUUAGAGACAGCCCACGAUUCAUUUGCUCAAAAAAUAAUCAAUCAGUCAUCAUGCCAAAAGGUUCCAAGAAGAGAAAGGCUGAAAAGAAAAAGAAGGAGCAAGAGGCAUUGUCCCAUAAUCAGAGUCACAACCAUCAGACACAGCCACAAUCUGCUGUUUCUCAUACUCAUGAAAAUGAUGAUAAAGAAAGUGAGGGUGAGGAGGUUAGUUCUCCAGCCUCACAAGACCAUUCCAGUCAUCAGCAUCAGUUCAUUGAUGGCGAGAAGGAAGAUGUGAAGAAGGUAGAAGAUAGUUCACAUGUUCAAUUAUCUGGUGAGAAGAGCAAAUCCAUUGAAGAACACAAAGAUAAUGGUGUAGCAGUGGAAGAGCCAAAAGCUGAAGAAAGUGUUGUUCAGAUUGAGAAGGAACCGAAGCCUGCAGGUGAAUUGAAUGGCAAUAGCAUAAGUGAGGAGCGCGUUAAGAUUCAGAAGGAAUCAGGUAAUGGAGUUGCAUCUGAGAGUCUGGAUGGGGAGAGUACUUUAGAGGUUGAAAAGGAAUUGAAACGUUUUGAAAAAGUAAAUGCAUCGGUUGAGCAUGUUGAACCGCAGAAGGAACACAAUGAUGGAGUGUUGACUGAGCGUCGUAAUGAUGAAUGUCGCUUCAUUGACAAGACAAAUGUUGUGGUGGAUAGUUCUCCAUUUGGUAGUUCAGCAGAAGCAGUUAAUUCCUUCUGUGAAGGUCUGGCUGAAGUACCUAAUCCCAUUCCAGUUGGGGAAGUUUAUGGUUCAGUAGCAGAACCUGACUCUGAUACUGUUCCAGAGGAGAAGAUUAGCAGAGAUAGUAGUAGUCCAGGUCAUAGUUUGUUGACUUCUAAUGUAGUCACAGAAAUGCAUGAAAAUGGGAAGAAAGAUGUGGCUGUGAUGGAUCAGAAUGAUAGGAGUUUGCCAGUCCUUGUGGACUUGGGAUUAGAGAAUAAGAGGGAUGAAGCAAUUAUUCUAGCAGGUAAUGCUUUGAGAGCUUUAGAGGCAAGGGGCACAGUUACUCAAGAAACUGAAGAAAAGCAGAUGCAUUUGUACACUGCUCCUGAAGAUGAAGCUGCAAAUUAUGGUCAUGCUAGUAAUGGUGAACACCAUAUUAAGGAUUCAGAAGUUCAUGGGCACUCUGAUACACAGCCGCUGGUUGCUUCUGCUAUACGACCUGUGCAAAGAACUUCAUGGAUGAGUUGCUGUGGUCUGUUUGAGGCAUUCGCUGGAUCAAGUAGAUAAUGCCCGUUCAUCAUGCUGUGUCUUAGGCACUGAACACUUCUAUCUUAGUGGGAGCCAAGAAUGGAGUAAAGCUGAAAUGUGUGACACAGCUUACCAAAAUAAGCGAAAAUCUCUCUGCAGAACUAACCUCAGGUUAUGUUAUACAUAUAUGUUAAGUAUCACUUGGGAACCCCUGAGACUUUCUUGGUUUAGUUUAUGCUUGUAUUUUUUUUUUUUUUGGGUCAAAAAGAUGCUUGUGCUAGUCUUCUAUAGUGUCUCCUUCCAUGUUUAGUGUGGUUUUGUUUUUCCUGUGGAGGAAGAUAAUGAGAGAUUUUUAGAUGUACUAAAGGGAGAUUUUUGCAUUGCAUAGCAUAGCAGGGAAAUGACAAAUUUUGAAGAUUUAUGAAUUUAUGUAUAUUAUUAGUUAUGAUAUUGUCAGUCAAUACAUUUUUGUUC